AGGUCUAAAUAGUUUUAGUGUGUAACCGCGAACGGCCCAUUAUACCAGUUAUAGUUUAUUUGGAAUAGUUUCUAUAUGGAUACCCGUAGUAAUUCUAGGGCUAAUACAUGUGUUUUCUUUGGUGGGCAACCAUUAAAGAAGUACUUAUUAGACAUAAAACCAAUUUAAUGUUGUUGUGAGUAAUAAUAAUUGUUGACUUUAUCGCAUGCUUGUUAGUAGCGAUG
rnacentral:rRNA from 1 species